rnacentral:rRNA from 1 species
GGCUCUUUGAAAUUAAUAGAUGGAGAGUCGGACCUGCCCAGUGAAAUUUUUUAACGGCCGCGGUACUCUGACCGUGCAAAGGUAGCAUAAUCAUUUGCCUUAUAAUUGAAGGCUUGUAUGAAUGGUUUGACAAGAAUAUAGCUGUCUCUGUGUAAUUUCAUAGAAUUUUAUUUUGAAGUGAAGAAGCUUGAAUAAUAUUGAUAGACAAGAAGACCCUAUCGAGCUUGAAAAGAGGUUAUAGGAGUAUAAAAAUAAAUUUAAAAAAUUGUCUAUAAUAAAUUUUAGUUGGGGCGACUUAGGAACAUGUAAAACUUCCUAAAUUUAUAAAUAAACAAAAUGAUCCAAAAUUUUUUGAUUAAUGAAAUUAGUUACCGUAGGGAUAACAGCAUAAUCUUCUUUAAGAGUUCUUAUCGAAAAGGGGGUUUGUGACCUCGAUGUUGGACCAGAAUGUCCUAAAGAUGUAGCAGUCUUUAAGGGUUGGUCUGUUCGACCAUUAAAAUUCUACG